ensembl:lncRNA
ACUCGGGGCAGAAGGGCAUGUGGGAGGGGGUGCUGAGGCUAUGGCAGGUCAACACCCCAGACAGGUUUAGUUGGAGAAAGGUGGAAUAAUCACAGCCUUUGCUUGAAGAAUUCCCUGCCUGUCAGACCCCGAAGGCUCAAGUCUGUGGACAGAAGAUGUGUGAAUACUGAGCUAAAACAGAGUAUAGGCAAGAGUUUUGUCUGUUCACCACUGGGAUUUAAGAACUUAAAGGCCAAGAACUGGCCUCAAAAGCAAAGGAGUGGUGAUCAUUUUGUAAUGUAUAAAAAUAUCGAAUCACUAUGUUUUGCACCUGUAAAAAAAGAAAAAA